rnacentral:rRNA from 1 species
AUUGAACGCUGGCGGCAGGCCUAACACAUGCAAGUCGAACGAGUGGCGGACGGGUGAGUAAUGUCUGGGAAACUGCCCGAUGGAGGGGGAUAACUACUGGAAACGGUAGCUAAUACCGCGUACCAUCGGCUGUGCCCAGAUGGGAUUAGAUUGUAGGUGAGGUAACGGCUCACCUAGUCGACGCACCCUAGCUGGGCUGAGAGGAUGAACAGCAACACUGGAACUGCGAGACGGGCCAGCGAACUGCGGGAGGCAGCAGUGGGGAAUAUUGCACAAUGGGCUGAAGCCUGAUGAAGUCAUGCCGGGUGUAUGAAGAAGGCCUUCGGGUUGUAAAGUAUUUUAAGCGGGGAGGCGUUACCCGCAGAAGAAGCACCGGCUAACGCCGUGCCAGGAGCCGCGGUAAUUC